rnacentral:piRNA from 1 species
UCCUCUUACAUUCAGCAUCUCACUUGGCUCC